AUUUAUAAACAUAGGGAGCGGGUGGUGGGGAUUUAUAGAUAUAUGGUGGAGACUCAUAAACAUAUGGAGGGGGUAUAGGUUUGUAGUAGUAUGGAGGAGGUGGUGAUGGUGAGGGUGGAGGAGGUGACUCAUAAACAUAAGGUGGUGGUGGAGGGGAUUUGUAGACAUAUUGUGGAGGAGGAGGUGAUUCGUAAACAUAUGGAGGAGGUGGCGGUGACUUGUAGACAUAUGGUGGUGGAGGUGGCGACUUGUAUACAUAUGGUGGGGUGGUGAUGGAGAUGGUGGAGGAGGAGACUUGUAGACAUAUGGAGGUGGGGUGUACACAUAUGGUGGGGGAGGUGGCGACUUGUAGAUAUAUGGAGGAGGUGGUGAUGGUGGAGGAGGAGAUGGGUAAACAUAAGGUGGAGGAGGUGGUGACUUAUACACAUAUGGAGGAGGUGGGGGUGAUUUGUAGAUAUAUGGAGGAGGAGGCGAUGGUGGAGGAGGAGAUGGGUAAACAUAAGGUGGAGGAGGUGGUGAUUUGUAUACGUAUGGAGGAGGUGGUGAUGGUGGAGGAGGAGACGGGUAAACGUAAGGUGGAGGAGGUGGUGACUUGUACACAUAUGGAGGAGGUGGGGGUGACUUGUACACAUAUGGAGGAGGUGGUGAUGGUGGAGGAGGAGACGGGUAAACAUAAGGUGGAGGAGGUGGUGACUUGUACACGUAUGGAGGAGGUGGGGGUGACUUGUACACAUAUGGAGGAGGUGGCGGUGACUUGUAUACAUACGGAGGAGGUGGUGAUGGUGGAGGAGGAGACGGGUAAACGUAAGGUGGAGGAGGUGGUGACUUGUACACGUAUGGAGGAGGUGGGGGUGACUUGUAUACAUAUGGAGGUGGCGGUGAUGGUGGAGGAGGAGACGGGUAAACAUAAGGUGGAGGAGGUGGUGACUUGUACACAUAUGGAGGAGGUGGUGGUGAUUUAUAGACAUAAGGAGGUGGUGGUGAUGGAGAUGGUGGUGGUGGAGAUUUGUAGUAAUAUGGUGGUAAUUUGUAAUCAUAAGGAGGUGGCGGUGACGGGGGUGGAGGUUUAUAGUAAUUAUAUGGAGGGAACUUAUGGUCAUAUGGUGGUGGAGAUUUAUAGUUAUAUGGAGGGAAUUUGUGUUCAUAUGGAGGUGGAGAUUGAUAAUUGUAUGGAGGGAAUUUGUAGGCAAAUGGAGGUGGUGGUGAUGGUGGUGGAGAUUUAUAGUAAUUAUAUGGAGGGAAUUUAUGGUCAUAUGGAGGUGGGGAUUUGUAUUCAUAUAGAGGUGGAGAUUGAUAGUUAUUAUACGACGGUGGUUUGUAAUAGUAAGAUGGUGGCGUUGUUGGUUGUGGAUAGUUGUAGUAUGGUUGUUGGCCUCCAUAGUAAGGCUUAUCAUCAGCGGUAGCAAAAGUACUAAUAGCAAUCAUGCAAAAUGCUAUUGUAUACAUGAGUCGAGGCAAAUUCCUCGGCUCAAUUGAUGUUCCCAUAUUCUCUUAAUGUGUAACCUUAUAUUUCUUCUAUUGUUGUAUAGAAGAUUUGUGUUUUUAUUGCUUUAAGUAUCGACUUGUAACUCUUUAUAUAGUGUUAUCACCUUCACUAUCUAAGGAUUUUUUAAGUUGUAUAUACAAAGUGGCUCAACAUUUUAUUAGAUA
rnacentral:lncRNA from 1 species